rnacentral:rRNA from 1 species
UACGGAGGGGUCGAGCGUUAUUCGGAUUCACUGGGCGUAAAGGGCGCGUAGGCGGGAUCGUGGGUCGGCCGUGAAAUCCACCGGCUCAACCGGUGAACUGCGGUCGAAACUACGAUUCUUGAGUUCGGUAGAGGAAUGCGGAAUUCCUGGUGUAGCGGUGGAAUGCGUAGAUAUCAGGAAGAACACCGGUAGCGAAGGCGGCAUUCUGGGCCGUAUCUGACGCUGAGGCGCGAAAGCCGGGGGAGCGAACAGGAUUAGAUACCCCUGUA